rnacentral:rRNA from 11 species
CUUGACGACCAUAGAGCGUUGGAACCACCUGAUCCCAUCCCGAACUCAGUAGUGAAACGAUGCAUCGCCGAUGGUAGUGUGGAGUUUCUCCAUGUGAGAGUAGGUCAUCGUCAAGC